UCGAGAAUUUUUCUCAAUGGGGGAAACCCUGAAGGAGCGACGCCGCGUGGAGGAUGAAGGUUUUCGGAUUGUAAACUCCUGUCAUUGGUGAACAAGACUGCGAUUUAACUGAUCGCUAGUUUGCUAGUAGCCGAAGAGGAAGGGACGGCUAACUCUGUGCCAGCAGCCGCGGUAAUACAGAGGUCCCGAGCGUUGUUCGGAUUCAUUGGGCGUAAAGGGUGCGUAGGCGGCGUGGUAAGUCUGAUGUGAAAUCCUGGGGCUCAACCCCAGAACUGCAUUGGAUACUGCCAUGCUAGAGUACUGGAGAGGAAACUGGAAUUUACGGUGUAGCAGUGAAAUGCGUAGAGAUCGUAAGGAAGACCAGUGGCGAAGGCGAGUUUCUGGACAGUAACUGACGCUGAGGCACGAAGGCCAGGGGAGCAAACGG
rnacentral:rRNA from 1 species